rnacentral:rRNA from 1 species
CCUACGGGAGGCAGCAGUGGGGAAUAUUGCGCAAUGGGCGAAAGCCUGACGCAGCGACGCCGCGUGAGGGAUGAAGGUCUUCGGAUCGUAAACCUCUGUUAGCAGGGAAGAACGGUCACUGUGCUAAUCAGCAGUGAAUUGACGGUACCUGCAAAGGAAGCACCGGCUAACUCCGUGCCAGCAGCCGCGGUAAUACGGAGGGUGCGAGCGUUAAUCGGAAUUACUGGGCGUAAAGCGCUCGAAGGCGGGAUGUCAAGUCAGUUGUGAAAGCCCCGCGCUCAACGUGUGAACUGCAUUUGAAACUGGCAGACUGGAGUGUGUGAGAGGUUAGUGGAAUUCCAGGUGUAGGGGUGAAAUCCGUAGAUAUCUGGAGGAACAUCAGUGGCGAAGGCGACUAUCUGGCACAUAACUGACGCUGAGGAGCGAAAGCGUGGGUAGCAAACAGGAUUAGAUACCCGUGUAGUC